CGUGUAGGCGGAUGUUCAAGUCAUAUGUGAAAACCAGCAGCUCAACUGCUGGCCUGCAUUUGAUACUGUUCAUCUUGAGUAUGAGAGGGGAAAGCGGAAUUCCUGGUGUAGCGGUGAAAUGCGUAGAUAUCAGGAGGAACACCGGUGGCGAAGGCGGCUUUCUGGCUCAAUACUGACGCUAAGGCGCGAAGGCCGGGGGAGCAAACA
rnacentral:rRNA from 1 species